CAGUCGCCACGGUAAUACGUAGGUGGCAAGCGUUGUCCGGAAUUACUGGGCGUAAAGGGCUCGCAGGCGGUCUCUUAAGUCUGAUGUGAAAGCCCCCGGCUCAACCGGGGAGGGUCAUUGGAAACUGGUUGACUUGAGUGCGGAAGAGGAGAGUGGAAUUCCAUGUGUAGCGGUGAAAUGCGUAGAUAUAUGGAGGAACACCAGUGGCGAAGGCGACUCUCUGGUCUGUAACUGACGCUGAGGCUCGAAAGCGUGGGUAGCAAACAGGAUUAGAUACCCGCGUAGUCCCUGUCUCUUAUAU
rnacentral:rRNA from 1 species